ACGGAAGGCAGCAGUGGGGAAUAUUGCACAAUGGGGGAAACCCUGAUGCAGCGAUGCCGCGUGAAGGAUGAAGGGUUUCGGCUCGUAAACUUUUAUCGAUAGUGAAGAAACAAAUGACGGUAACUAAGUAAGAAGCUCCGGCUAAAUACGUGCCAGCAGCCGCGGUAAUACGUAUGGAGCAAGCGUUAUCCGGAUUUACUGGGUGUAAAGGGAGCGUAGACGGCAAAGCAAGUCUGAAGUGAAAUCCCGGGGCUCAACCCCGGAACUGCUUUGGAAACUGUUUAGCUAGAGUGCAGGAGAGGUAAGCGGAAUUCCUAGUGUAGCGGUGAAAUGCGUAGAUAUUAGGAGGAACACCAGUGGCGAAGGCGGCUUACUGGACUGUAACUGACGUUGAGGCUCGAAAGCGUGGGGAGCAAACAGGAUUAGAUAUCCUGGUA
rnacentral:rRNA from 1 species